AUUGAACGCUGGCGGCAUGCCUAACACAUGCAAGUCGAGCGGAUAGAGGGAGCUUGCUCCUGGAUUCAGCGGCGUACGGUUGGGUAAUGCCUCGGAAUCUGCCUGGUAGUGGGGGAUGCCUUACGGAAGCGGUCGCUAAUACCACAUGCGUCUUAAUAGCGCAAGAGAGGACAGUUCGGCCUUCAGCGUCGCAGAUAACCCUAGUGGCGUUAAGAUGGUCGGCGGGCUAAAGGCCACACAAGGCGAGGAUCGGUAACUGAUCUGAGAGGAGAAGCAGUCAGACUGGAACUGAGACAUGGUCCAGACUCCUACGGGAGGCAGCAGUGGGGAAUAUUGGACAAUGGGAGAAAGGCGGAUCCAGCCAUGCCGGGUGUGUGAAGAAGGUCUUCGGAUUGUAAAGCACUUUAAGUUGGGAGUAAGGGCAGUAAGUUAAUACCUUGCUGUUUUGACGGUACCAACAGAAUAAGCACCGGCUAACUUCGUG
rnacentral:rRNA from 1 species